rnacentral:rRNA from 1 species
GAUGAACGCUGGCGGCGUGCCUAAUACAUGCCAGUCGAGCGAACAGACGAGGAGCUUGCUCCUCUGACGUUAGCGGCGGACGGGUGAGUAACACGUGGAUAACCUACCUAUAAGACUGGGAUAACUUCGGGAAACCGGAGCUAAUACCGGAUAAUAUAUUGAACCGCAUGGUUCAAUAGUGAAAGACGGUUUUGCUGUCACUUAUAGAUGGAUCCGCGCCGCAUUAGCUAGUUGGUAAGGUAACGGCUUACCAAGGCAACGAUGCGUAGCCGACCUGAGAGGGUGAUCCGCCCACCCGGAACUGAGACACGGUCCAGACUCCUACGGGAGGCAGCAGUAGGGAAUCUUCCGCAAUGGGCGAAAGCCUGACGGAGCAACGCCGCGUGAGUGAUGAAGGUCUUCGGAUCGUAAAACUCUGUUAUUAGGGAAGAACAAAUGUGUAAGUAACUAUGCACGUCUUGACGGUACCUAAUCAGAAAGCCACGGCUAACUACGUG